rnacentral:rRNA from 1 species
CAAUAGCGUAUAUUAAAGCUGUUGCGGUUAAAAAGCUCGUAGUUGGAUUUCUGUCAAGGACAACUGGUCCGCCCUCCGGGUGAGCACAUAGUUUGGUCUUGGCAUCUUGCUGGAAGCUGUUGCUGCACUUGGCUGUGUGGCGCAGCGUCCAGCACUUUCACUUUGAGGAAAUUGGAGUGUUUCAAGCAGGCACAUGCCUUUGGACACAGUAGCAUGGAAUAAUUAGAUUGGGCUUUUGCUCCAAUUUGUCGGUUUCUGGAGCUGAGGUGAGAAUUAAUGGGGAUUGUUGGUGGCAUCCGAAUUUAGCCGUCAGAGGUGAAAUUCUUGGAUCUGCUAAAGACGGACAACUGCGAAAGCGUUUGCCCAGGAUGUUUUCAUUGA